GGUGAAAUCGGCAGACACAGCGGACUUAAAAUCCGCAGACCCUUAUCAGGUCGUGGGGGUUCAAGUCCCCCUCCGGGCACCA
rnacentral:tRNA from 1 species